ACCCCUUAUCCGGAAUACCCUUGGUCCCAAGCAUUCUGGAUAACGGGUCCUAUUCCUGUACUUAAGUCUAACCAUUUACAUUGCUCAUCAUGUUGGGGUUGGGUUUAAUGGUGACUGAGCCUACAGCUUCAUGUAUAAAGUGCAGCAUUACAGGACCGUACCCCAUUACUGAUAUUGUUGCCAUUUUUUUGUUUCAUGCUUUUAAACCAAAUAUUUUUUUCUGUUUGUAGUUUCCUUUCGACGAAACAGACAAGCAGCUCCUGACGGCCCAAAUUAUACAUACAGAGCCGAAAAUUCCUCCAGAUCUGCUUUUAAGUGUCAAGGUCACAUUACAAGGGCUGCUGAAAAAAGAUGCCAAACUUCGCCUCGGGUCACAUAAAACAGACGCUAAAGAAGUCAUGGAAAGCUCUUUAUUCAGGGGAUUUAACUGGGACGCCCUUCUGAGCCAAGAAAUACAGGCGCCAUUCACUCCUCAAAUAAGUGUUCCAGAGCGAGUGGAGUUAGUACGCCUUCGCUUACCGGGCGCUGGUGUCCCACGACCCCACAGGACCCCAUUGGAAGAGGCAUUAGAAAAGUUGAAUUGUCCUGCUCUUCUGCCUUGAAAACCGGGUCCA